UGUGAGCUCGAUGAGUAGGGCGGGACACGUGGUAUCCUGUCUGAAUAUGGGGGGACCAUCCUCCAAGGCUAAAUACUCCUGACUGACCGAUAGUGAACCAGUACCGUGAGGGAAAGGCGAAAAGAACCCCGGCGAGGGGAGUGAAAAAGAACCUGAAACCGUGUACGUACAAGCAGUGGGAGCACGCUUAGGCGUGUGACUGCGUACCUUUUGUAUAAUGGGUCAGCGACUUAUAUUCUGUAGCAAGGUUAACCGAAUAGGGGAGCCGAAGGGAAACCGAGUCUUAACUGGGCGUUAAGUUGCAGGGUAUAGACCCGAAACCCGGUGAUCUAGCCAUGGGCAGGUUGAAGGUUGGGUAACACUAACUGGAGGACCGAACCGACUAAUGUUGAAAAAUUAGCGGAUGACUUGUGGCUGGGGGUGAAAGGCCAAUCAAACCGGGAGAUAGCUGGUUCUCCCCGAAAGCUAUUUAGGUAGCGCCUCGUGAAUUCAUCUCCGGGGGUAGAGCACUGUUUCGGCAAGGGGGUCAUCCCGACUUACCAACCCGAUGCAAACUGCGAAUACCGGAGAAUGUUAUCACGGGAGACACACGGCGGGUGCUAACGUCCGUCGUGAAGAGGGAAACAACCCAGACCGCCAGCUAAGGUCCCAAAGUCAUGGUUAAGUGGGAAACGAUGUGGGAAGGCCCAGACAGCCAGGAUGUUGGCUUAGAAGCAGCCAUCAUUUAAAGAAAGCGUAAUAGCUCACUGGUCGAGUCGGCCUGCGCGGAAGAUGUAACGGGGCUAAACCAUGCACCGAAGCUGCGGCAGCGACGCUUAUGCGUUGUUGGGUAGGGGAGCGUUCUGUAAGCCUGUGAAGGUGGGCUGUGAGGCAUGCUGGAGGUAUCAGAAGUGCGAAUGCUGACAUAAGUAACGAUAAAGCGGGUGAAAAGCCCGCUCGCCGGAAGACCAAGGGUUCCUGUCCAACGUUAAUCGGGGCAGGGUGAGUCGACCCCUAAGGCGAGGCCGAAAGGCGUAGUCGAUGGGAAACAGGUUAAUAUUCCUGUACUUGGUGUUACUGCGAAGGGGGGACGGAGAAGGCUAUGUUGGCCGGGCGACGGUUGUCCCGGUUUAAGCGUGUAGGCUGGUUUUCCAGGCAAAUCCGGAAAAUCAAGGCUGAGGCGUGAUGACGAGGCACUACGGUGCUGAAGCAACAAAUGCCCUGCUUCCAGGAAAAGCCUCUAAGCAUCAGGUAACAUCAAAUCGUACCCCAAACCGACACAGGUGGUCAGGUAGAGAAUACCAAGGCGCUUGAGAGAACUCGGGUGAAGGAACUAGGCAAAAUGGUGCCGUAACUUCGGGAGAAGGCACGCUGAUAUGUAGGUGAAGUCCCUCGCGGAUGGAGCUGAAAUCAGUCGAAGAUACCAGCUGGCUGCAACUGUUUAUUAAAAACACAGCACUGUGCAAACACGAAAGUGGACGUAUACGGUGUGACGCCUGCCCGGUGCCGGAAGGUUAAUUGAUGGGGUCAGCGCAAGCGAAGCUCUUGAUCGAAGCCCCGGUAAACGGCGGCCGUAACUAUAACGGUCCUAAGGUAGCGAAAUUCCUUGUCGGGUAAGUUCCGACCUGCACGAAUGGCGUAAUGAUGGCCAGGCUGUCUCCACCCGAGACUCAGUGAAAUUGAACUCGCUGUGAAGAUGCAGUGUACCCGCGGCAAGACGGAAAGACCCCGUGAACCUUUACUAUAGCUUGACACUGAACAUUGAGCCUUGAUGUGUAGGAUAGGUGGGAGGCUUAGAAGUGUGGACGCCAGUCUGCAUGGAGCCGACCUUGAAAUACCACCCUUUAAUGUUUGAUGUUCUAACGUUGACCCGUAAUCCGGGUUGCGGACAGUGUCUGGUGGGUAGUUUGACUGGGGCGGUCUCCUCCUAAAGAGUAACGGAGGAGCACGAAGGUUGGCUAAUCCUGGUCGGACAUCAGGAGGUUAGUGCAAUGGCAUAAGCCAGCUUGACUGCGAGCGUGACGGCGCGAGCAGGUGCGAAAGCAGGUCAUAGUGAUCCGGUGGUUCUGAAUGGAAGGGCCAUCGCUCAACGGAUAAAAGGUACUCCGGGGAUAACAGGCUGAUACCGCCCAAGAGUUCAUAUCGACGGCGGUGUUUGGCACCUCGAUGUCGGCUCAUCACAUCCUGGGGCUGAAGUAGGUCCCAAGGGUAUGGCUGUUCGCCAUUUAAAGUGGUACGCGAGCUGGGUUUAGAACGUCGUGAGACAGUUCGGUCCCUAUCUGCCGUGGGCGCUGGAGAACUGAGGGGGGCUGCUCCUAGUACGAGAGGACCGGAGUGGACGCAUCACUGGUGUUCGGGUUGUCAUGCCAAUGGCACUGCCCGGUAGCUAAAUGCGGAAGAGAUAAGUGCUGAAAGCAUCUAAGCACGAAACUUGCCCCGAGAUGAGUUCUCCCUGACCCUUUAAGGGUCCUGAAGGAACGUUGAAGACGACGACGUUGAUAGGCCGGGUGUGUAAGCGCAGCGAUGCGUUGAGCUAACCGGUACUAAUGAACCGUGAGGCUUAACCUU
rnacentral:rRNA from 2 species